rnacentral:tRNA from 1 species
CAUUAGGUGGCUGAAAGCAAGCAAUGGAAUUUUAAACCAUUAAAUAGUGUAAUAGCAAAUACUUCUAAUG